UAGGCUCUGCAAGAUUCUGCUAA
rnacentral:misc_RNA from 1 species